ensembl:lncRNA
ACACCAGUCUGAGUGCCUGAGACUGCACCAUGAGCACGGUUACUUGUGCAAGCAGCUUCUUUGCUCAUAAACAAAACAGCUCCAUCUCCUCUUCCUUCUCUACUUUCAUACUCCAGUUGCUCAGACGGAUGGCAGAAAUCGCACAGGACUUGGCAGAGCAAAAGCUACCUGUAUAUGCGUCUCCGUAUGUAUGUAGGGCAAGAGAACCAGUCUCAGGCAUACCUGUAUCAGCUCAAGGCUGCAUUCCCUGGAGGAAGUUAAGUGAAAGGCUAUGUGCCCGUCUGACAGCCUGUCACUUGCACAGAGAUGCUCAAGAAGGACUAACCCUGAAGGAGCUAGUGAGAAGAAAGGUACUGGUAAUGUACUGAGAGAGGCCCUGAGAAGAGGAAGAAGAGGACACAGAGGAGUCAAGCCUGUGCCUCUGUCUACCUGCUGAAGUUUUCAGGCUCACAAAGGCAGCCGAUGUUCUUGAUCAUCAUGCAACACUGCAAGAGGCCGACUGCAGGGAAAAAGGUAGAAGGCUCCCAAGGAGCUGUACAGAUCCUUGGCUGCAAGGAUCUGGCAUCAAGGUGUAAGCAGACAGAUUAGGAUAACAACUGGGCAGAAAAAUUACACUAAGUAUUUUUUAUCAGCUGAGAAAGCAUUGGAAGGUGGUGACUGACCCUCAGGAAAAGGGUGAUUCAGAAAGCAGCUGUGGUAGGGGAGCGGAGAUGCUAUUAAUGUGUUCUGUCAUGGGCUGGCAUGUGCUCCCUCAUGUUCAGAUGGCUAAAGCUGAUUUGCUCUUCUUUUUAUAGGCUGGCAACCUGUGCUGAUGCAGGCGGAUAGUCUCAGUAUGGUCAUAAAAGCACAGCAGCUUUGGGAAAAAUAGGGAUUAGGAAGAAACUUUGUGAAACAGUCCAUGAAGUUUUGAAGUUCUCUCCCAACCCUCAUUAGAUGUCAGUUCUCUUACUGUAAGAUUUCCAUUCCAAAGUAUCCUUCCCAAAGUAUCCUUCCUAUCCUUCCCAACCCUCUUCCCCAGCAGUAUCCUCCUUUUCUCUAUCCUCUUCCCCACUCAGCAGCUCUUUCUGCCCUCCUUGGGCUGCAGCAAGUAAGUGAGGGGCAGGUUGUCUUUCUUUAGCAGAGGGCUGUAUAGGCAGUGGGCACAGAUGAACUGUUUGCACCAGAAACAUCUGGUUUUGUUUUUUUUGGGGGCACAAACAAAACAGGAAGUCUGCUAUUGACCUAGGUGCAGUCACGCUUGUGGAAGACACUGCAGCUCCUUAAUGCUCAUGACAGCCAAGCGCAGAGGACCCUGAGAAUGAGGAGGCUGUAAAAAAACCUCUGGAUAUGGCCAGCUUUUCUCUGCAAUGCCUGACAUCCAUGAACACGGUAACCACGAGUGUGUUCAUUUUAAGUACAACAGCGUGGGAGAGAAGUGCACAGGGAGAAAUCAUACUCCCACUGCCGGCGAUGUGAGGACAGCAGCAAGGGAAUACUCCUGCCAGGGCUCUUACCUUGCAGCAACCAGUUCUGCUCUGACUCCUUCCUGGGAAGGACCGGACUUGCAAGGCACCAAAGACAGCAGUCAAAUCCAGGACUGCGGAUGUAAGUCACCAAGUGUAAGGGGGAUGCAACUGUGGCUGGACUAGCGGAGAGUGUGCAUUUAUUUGGGGUGAGAAGCGAUGUGGCUGCCUACCCACAAGCCCUGCGCUAGCAUGGGAUCUGUGCAAGGAGAUCUCAGUGCUGCAGGGCAGAGGGGAUCAAGCAACAUGAUCUAGAUACAAGGCACCGCAGGACAGCAGGGAGAUGGCCACGCACAUGCCUACACAACCCCCAGGGCCCACAAACUCUUUACUCAGUGUAUCUUUACUCACUGUAGCUCAAAGAAAGAUUAUUUAUUAAGACAUCUAUUUUUUUUUCUUUUUUUUUUUUUUUAAAGGAAAAAGUGGCCCCUCGUCAGAAAUGUAAGGCAAACAAACCCUAUACAGUAAAGCUGCUGUGUCAGGAAGUACAGAACAAACCCACAUCUCGUCAGAACUAACCCGCUCUUAGCUUUGCAUCCAAAAAUAUUAGUCCACUUACUGCCCAUUAAAAAUUCCCUUUGUCUCUUCUCAGUUGCAGUGCAAUGCUUGAGAUGUUAAAGCUGGCACUGUCAGCCUUCAAAGUAAUGUUAGAGAUUUAUUUACUCAUUAACUUUCAAAUGCAGGACACUUUCAAAACCUUUUCCUAAGGGCAUCCCUGUGUUCUGUUUCAGAGUUACUGUUGUUUUCCCACCUACCCUGAAGGGCUGUUUACGAUAGCAUCUCUCCCUUUUAAUCCUCUUCUCCUUUCAUGUCUAACAAACAGCAUUAAACAGAACACAGAGGGAAAAGACAGAUCUCACACAUUACAAUCAGCUAUAUUUAACUGAAGAAAAGAAAUGCUUCGCAAUUAGAGAUCUCAUUUUGUAAAUUAACACUCGAGAAGCUUUUUCCUAUGCAUUUUCCAGAUAAAACCAAGCCCUGGGUUUGUACGGAUAGGAGCUCAGAUAAAGGGUUGUUAGAACUCGAUCCUGUGAAUUGAUGCACACCGUACAGUGACUGGGCUUCCACAAAAAUGAUUUCUCUUAGGAGAGCCUACACGGAGGGCGGUACACACAGACGUGGGCAGUGCUGACGUGUUGAACUGUGACAGAAAAUUGUACGUUUCAAAAG